CAAUCAAUCUUUUUAUCAAUCCUCCCCCUUUGUUUCUAUUGGUUAGGCAUGGAUCACCAUUUCAACCCUUAGAUGAUAAUGAAUUGAUGACUCAGAUUAAUUGUUCAUUUAUUUAUUUUUAAUUAUUUUCCACAGAUCUGAGCAGAUCUCGCGUUUGUGAGAAAGAGAGAGAGAGAGAGAGAGAGAGAGAGAGAGAGAGAGAUGCAUAUGCUCGAAAGUAAAGAUCUCAUCUUCUCUAUGAUGAUUAUGGUCGAUCUCGAAAGUUUUCUUCUUUCUCUCAUCACCGAAACUAAACCAGAGCGCGAGGCUCACGCGGAGGCUUGAGCAUCGUCCGUUCGUCAUCCAGCGAAGCUUCUUCCAACUGAAGGAAGAAGCCGGAUAUGAAGAAGCUGUGCUGGUGUAGAUGUGCCAAGCAAGAAGAAGAAAAAGAGAAGAGGGAGAAGACGAGAUGUAAGGAAGAAGAAGAUGGAAGAGGAAGGUGACGACAGAGGCAUAGAUUAGGUUUAGUUUUGGUUGGUUUAUUAGGUUUGGUUUAGAUAGGGUUAGAUUAAUAAACCGAGUUUGUUUGUAAACCAAUGUUAAGAAAUAAACCAGUAUUAAUUGUAAACCAAUAUCUGUAUACUGAUCUUAAUUAAUAAAUAAAGUUUAAUUUUCUAAUUA